rnacentral:lncRNA from 1 species
UAUUAUCUUUCUACUAUUUAGGACUUUGUAUGUAACAAUAUAUUUCUUAUUCUGCAGUUGAAGGAUAUCAAGAGAUCAAUAAAUCUUCCAGAUGAUCAGGAGAGCGGGAAGAAACAAAUCAUAAACUCUGUUAUAGCAGACAUUAAUUUUCCUGCUUACAGUACAGCAAUGAAGCAUCACAAAGCUCAGAUAGCCUCCCGAACUUUCACUGGAUUUUGAGACAUCUAGUGAUUUCAGAUAAGGGUCUCCACUGGUUUCCAAACAUUGGGUUGUAAACAUACAGUCAAUGAAAUUGAAAAUACCUAAUCAACAACGAGCACCACAGAAGGUAAGUGUUAAUUUAUUUUUACCAACCAAAUUCAAGAACACAC